rnacentral:rRNA from 1 species
UGGGGAAUAUUGGACAAUGGGCGAAAGCCUGAUCCAGCCAUGCCGCGUGUGUGAAGAAGGCCUUUUGGUUGUAAAGCACUUUAAGUGGGGAGGAAAAGCUUAUGGAUAAUACCCAUAGGUUCUGACGUUACCCACAGAAUAAGCACCGGCUAACUCUGUGCCAGCAGCCGCGGUAAUACAGAGGGUGCAAGCGUUAAUCGGAAUUACUGGGCGUAAAGCGCGCGUAGGUGGUUAUUUAAGUCAGAUGUGAAAGCCCCGGGCUUAACCUGGGAACUGCAUCUGAUACUGGAUAACUAGAGUAGGUGAGAGGGGAGUAGAAUUCCAGGUGUAGCGGUGAAAUGCGUAGAGAUCUGGAGGAAUACCGAUGGCGAAGGCAGCUCCCUGGCAUCAUACUGACACUGAGGUGCGAAAGCGUGGGUAGCAAACAGGAUUAGAUACCCUGGUAGUCCACGCCGUAAACGAUGUCUACCAGUCGUUGGGUCUUUUAAAGACUUAGUGACGCAGUUAACGCAAUGAGUAGACCGCCUGGGGAGUACGGCCGCAAGGUUA